UGGAGAACUUGCAGAUGCCCUGGUAGAAGAGUGGAGGAACAUCUCACAGCAAGAACUGACCAAUCCGGUGCAGUCCAUGAAGACCAGACAGGAUUUGUUCACAGAGGUCAUGUGACCUGGCCACGCCUUCAAGAACGUGUGUUGAGAAUGGUGGGUGGAGUUGAGCAGUGCUGUAACCUGAGCUCAGGUUUGAAGAUGGAGGCUGCAGAAGAUGACCUCUUCAACACCAAUCCUGACCUAGAGGAGAAAGGCCUCAAAGACAAGCUUCAAGACUGUAUGCUCCAGGAGCAGAAGAAGCAGAUGAAGUUUAGCAUCGGCAGCAACAAGAUUAUAAUAAUUGUGGUAAUCAUUACUCCAUAUGGAGUGAUAAUUGUGAUUAUAUACAUGCUAUGUGAUAAGUGUUAAGUGAUGUGUCAACCCUUCGCUGUUACUGUAAUAAAGUUGGUGUGACUUUGGACGAUGGAUCUUCGCAGAUCCAUUGUUAUACACCUUUCUAACUUCAGUAACAGUUGAAGAGAAUGUCUAGCAUGUGAAUAAACUGAGACACUGUGACACUGUG
ensembl:lncRNA